rnacentral:rRNA from 1 species
UCGCCUGUUUAUCAAAAACAUGGUUUCUUGAAUUAAUUAAGAGAUUUAACCUGCCCACUGAAUAAUUUUUGAAGGGCCGCAGUAUUUUGACUGUGCAAAGGUAGCAUAAUCAUUAGUCUUUUAAUUAAAGGCUGGUAUGAAUGGUUGGACGAGGCAAAUUCUGUUUUAUGUGAAUUAAAAUUGAAUUUAGAUUUUAAGUAAAAAGACUUAAAUGUUAUUAAGGGACGAGAAGACCCUAUAGAGUUUAAUAUAUGUAGUAAGUAAUUAAGUUAAGGUGGAAUUUUUGGUUAUUAUGAGAUAUAUUUAAUUGGGGUGAUUAAAAGAUAUACAGAACUCUUUUUAAAAUUUAAUAUUAUAAUUAAUUUUGUGAUCCAUAUAUAAUGAUUAAAAGAUUAAAUUACCUUAGGGAUAACAGCAUAAUUCUUUUUGAGAGUUCAUAUCGAAAAAGGAGAUUGUGACCUCGAUGUUGGAUUAAGAUUAGUUUUGGGUGCAGAUGUUUAAAAACUAGGUCUGUUCGACCUUGAAAAUCUUACAUGAUCUGAGUUCAAACCGGAGA